UACGAAGGGGGCUAGCGUUGCUCGGAAUCACUGGGCGUAAAGCGCACGUAGGCGGAUUGUUAAGUCAGGGGUGAAAUCCUGGAGCUCAACUCCAGAACUGCCUUUGAUACUGGCGACCUUGAGUCCGAGAGAGGUGAGUGGAACUGCGAGUGUAGAGGUGAAAUUCGUAGAUAUUCGCAAGAACACCAGUGGCGAAGGCGGCUCACUGGCCCGGUACUGACGCUGAGGCACGAAAGCGUGGGGAGCAAACAGG
rnacentral:rRNA from 1 species